UACGGAGGGUGCGAGCGUUGUCCGGAAUCAUUGGGCGUAAAGGGCGCGUAGGUGGCCCGGUCAGUUCGUGGUGAAAGCGCGGGGCUCAACCCUGCGUCGGCCAUGAAUACUGCCGCGGCUGGAGCACUGUAGAGGCAGGCGGAAUUCCGGGUGUAGCGGUGGAAUGCGUAGAUAUCUGGAGGAACACCGGUGGCGAAGGCGGCAUCCUGGACCAUUACUGACGCUGAGGAGCGAAAGCGUGGGGA
rnacentral:rRNA from 1 species